rnacentral:rRNA from 1 species
AUUGAACGCUGGCGGCAGGCCUAACACAUGCAAGUCGAGCGGAUGAAGGGAGCUUGCUCCUGGAUUCAGCGGCGGACGGGUGAGUAAUGCCUAGGAAUCUGCCUGGUAGUGGGGGAUAACGUCCGGAAGCGGGCGCUAAUACCGCAUACGUCCUGAGGGAGAAAGUGGGGGAUCUUCGGACCUCACGCUAUCAGAUGAGCCUAGGUCGGAUUAGCUAGUUGGUGGGGUAAAGGCCUACCAAGGCGACGAUCCGUAACUGGUCUGAGAGGAUGAUCAGUCACCCUGGAACUGAGACACAGUCCAGACUCCUACGGGAGGCAGCAGUGGGGAAUAUUGGACGAUGGGCGAAAGCCUGAUCCAGCCAUGCCGCGUGUGUGAAGAAGGUCUUCGGAUUGUAAAGCACUUUAAGUUGGGAGGAAGGGCAGUAAGUUAAUACCUUGCUGUUUUGACGUUACCAACAGAAUAAGCACCGGCUAACUUCGUG